GAUGAACGCUGGCGGCGUGCCUAAUACAUGCAAGUCGAGCGAACGGACGAGAAGCUUGCUUCUCUGAUGUUAGCGGCGGACGGGUGAGUAACACGUGGAUAACCUACCUAUAAGACUGGGAUAACUUCGGGAAACCGGAGCUAAUACCGGAUAAUCUUUUGAACCGCAUGGUUCAAAAGUGAAAGACGGUCUUGCUGUCACUUAUAGAUGGAUCCGCGCUGCAUUAGCUAGUUGGUAAGGUAACGGCUUACCAAGGCAACGAUGCAUAGCCGACCUGAGAGGGUGAUCGGCCACACUGGAACUGAGACACGGUCCAGACUCCUACGGGAGGCAGCAGUAGGGAAUCGUCCGCAAUGGGCGAAAGCCUGACGGAGCAACGCCGCGUGAGUGAUGAAGGUCUUCGGAUCGUAAAACUCUGUUAUUAGGGAAGAACAUAUGUGUAAGUAACUGUGCACAGCUUGACGGUACCUAAUCAGAAAGCCACGGCUAACUACGUG
rnacentral:rRNA from 1 species